rnacentral:lncRNA from 1 species
CUUUUUACUGAAAUAAAUUUUGAAUUUACUUAGAGUUCAGGUGAAGAUGACUUUUCUCGCAUUGUUUAUUGUUAUGAUUGUGAAAGUAAAAUUCUUUCAGCUCUGUUGUUUGUUUAGUAAAAGAUAAAUACUAUAAAAUAAUAUUAUUACGUCUUAUAUAACUUGAUAAAUAAUAAACUAUAAUAUAAUAAAUACAAAAUAAUAUAAAGAAUAAAUUAUAAAAUAUGAUAAAUAAAAAAUUUCUUCUUUUAUUUUUUAUUAUUUUUUCCUUGCAUAUCCUUUCUGUAAUUUAAUUAAAAAAUUCAAGUUUCAACCGAGCUAUAUUAUGAUGAACCAAAUAUCGAAAGUGCCUGUUUAAAGCCGAAAACCCUUUUCCUUUUUAUUUUUUCAUCCAAACAAACAGUCCAUAGAUGAAUUUGAUUACGAUCCGGAUGCCUUUCCGGGUCAAAGAUGAGGAGAAAUUAAAAUGUGGCUUCUACAUAGUAGUCCGUGUAAGUACCAAACUCUUAAUAGGGAACGUGGGAUGGCACGCGCAAUAUAAUAAUACUCAUGCCCCAAAUAUUCCCACUGAAAUUGGAAUUACAUCUACCUAAACACCCUCGAUUUCCGAAUACACUCUUUGGUUGACACAACUAUUUCUUCAAAAGCAUAUACUAAAUAUGUAUCUCACUAAUUAUUCCUAAUACAAAUAGCAAAAUGUAUGAUAAUUGAUAUUCGAGGUCCCAGAUUCGAAGCUUAAUUAUUUCAUAUUUUUAGUUAAAUUUAUUUUUAACCUCAAAAAGUAUAUAUAUCUCAUAUAUAUAGUUGUUGUGUUGUUGUUGUUGCUGCUGUUGUUGUUUUCACCAUUGCAUUUAAUUCACUCGUCCUUUCAAAGCACCAAAAACCAAUCUAACAUUUAAUUGUUCUUACCGACCGUUUCUAGUGCAAGUGGCAAAAAGACUUGGUGGUUGAUACCAGAGACCUAAGUUCGAAUUCUAAUUGAUUCAUAUUUUUAGCUAAGUUUAUUUUUAAAUAAAAUAAACAAAGCGGAUAGCAUACUAUCUUUCUCUAAAAAAAAAAAUACUUAGUUGUUCUUUUUUACUUUUUUUUUUAUUAUUAUUCUCCCCUAUCUUGCCCUUU